rnacentral:tRNA from 1 species
CCCCGUCUGCUACAUUGGAUAUCCUAGAGGCCUGCGGAGCCUCAGACCUGGGUUCGAAUCCCAGCACGGGCUCUA